rnacentral:misc_RNA from 1 species
UACCCUUGACAUGGUCGGAAGCCUCUCGAGACGGAGGCGUGCCCGAAAGGGAGCCGACACACAGGUGCUGCAUGGCUGUCGUCAGCUCGUGUCGUGAGAUGUUGGGUUAAGUCCCGCAACGAGCGCAACCCUUGUCAUUAGUUGCUACAUUCAGUUGGGCACUCUAAUGAGACUGCCGGUGACAAACCGGAGGAAGGUGGGGAUGACGUUACGGUCUUACU